UAAAUUUGGAAAUUAAUUUGAUGCAAUCACAUCCCUUGGGAGGACAAAUUUUGUUCAAUAGCCUCUAGUUUUGAAACCCUUUGUGCCACUGGCCGAUUUUUCUGAUUCUUUGGCACUGAAGCAUUGGCAGAUCCCAUCUAGACAAAGCGGUAAGCCGCUAUGAUGUCUGCAAUAAGCUGCACAAUCGGCAUUUUUCUUGCAUUGUGGCGUCUGUGCCGAAACAUUCGUUAACAUAAAACCUGCAUUAAUAACAACAUUAAUUCAUAGAGAGAGAGAGAGAGAGAGAGAGAGAGAGAGAGAGAGAGAGAGAGACCUGAUGCAAAAAGCAAGAGAAAGGCCAGAAAAGCCACCUUCAACGAAGCCAUGGGAGACAUGAAAAUCAAGAAAAGGAUGCUGAGAAAAUAAAAGUUUCUUUAGAAUGAAUAGUAUUG
rnacentral:lncRNA from 1 species